AAUGUUUUCUUCAUGAAUGUAUGUUUUCAUGAAGUCAAGAAGACCAAUUGUGGGAAAGAAAAAGGCGACAUGAUCAAAAAGGACUACAGGUGAGGGGUCAUGUGAUGAAUUAUGUAAGAUGACCCUAACUGUGUUGAUUUUGUCUUGGAUGAACCUGGACACAGCACGCACACACAGAGCUGCUUUUAAGAGAGUUUAUUGCAAGUAGUGGAUGAUGAUGACAUGAAGAACCAGAGUCUGUUACCAGGCGGAGAUGAGGGAUGCAGGAGCUGGCUGGCAGGAGCAGAGUUGCUACAGAACCGGGAGUAAAUCCAGAGUCCAUUAAGACGGGAACAGAGGUACAGAGUCCAGCAGCGCAGCAAACAGAAACAGGACAAACGGGAACCAAGACAGGAGGACAGGAGCAGACAGGCAUGAUGUAGGAUAGACUGACGUUUACGAGCCGGCGACCAAGAACAAACUGAGGAUGUGGAAGAGGUCCCUCUUAAAAUGUUCAGGCAUUCUGUAGCUGUUUCUGAAGCAUCAGAACCAUAAUCUGUUUCCUUUCGAGUGGAAACUGAGAACAUGACAGAACUGGGGUAUGUUGCCUGCUAUGGUCUUUUCUUAUUUCACUGUUUUUUGCCUUGUCCCAUCCUUAGUUUAAUAAUUGUUUUCUUUAUUUUUGAAUAGGAGGUUACUCUACACCAUAGAAGUAGCAGGGUGGUGUGGCACUACAACAUUUAAGGAGAAACUCUCCCUUGAAACUUCCGCCUGGAUCCAGAGGAGAUUGAUGAGCAGAGGGAACCGUUCGUGUUCCUUUAUACUUUACAGAAUGAUUAUGAGACAUUUCGCUAAGAAAUUGUGGACAAAAAGGCAAAUGCAGGUCUUGGCUGCCUUGAACCCUGACCCCUACAAAUGUCCUGUCAUGCUCUGUGUUUUUGGUCCCUGUUGUGCUUCUGUUUUUUUUUUAAGUUCAGUGUCCUGUAUUCUUGUAUGUCCGUGCUUGUGUUUUGUCCUGUGUUGUACUCUUUUCUCCGUGCCUGGUGUUACUGUGUUCCUCCUGUUGUGUGCGAGUUCAGUUUCCCAGUAAAAAUAAAGU